UUCGACACACUAUCAUUAACUGAAUCCAUAGGUUAAUGAGGCGAACCGGGGGAACUGAAACAUCUAAGUACCCCGAGGAAAAGAAAUCAACCGAGAUUCCCCCAGUAGCGGCGAGCGAACGGGGAGCAGCCCAGAGCCUGAAUCAGUGUGUGUGUUAGUGGAAGCGUCUGGAAAGGCGCGCGAUACAGGGUGACAGCCCCGUACACAAAAAUGCACAUGCUGUGAGCUCGAUGAGUAGGGCGGGACACGUGGUAUCCUGUCUGAAUAUGGGGGGACCAUCCUCCAAGGCUAAAUACUCCUGACUGACCGAUAGUGAACCAGUACCGUGAGGGAAAGGCGAAAAGAACCCCGGCGAGGGGAGUGAAAAAGAACCUGAAACCGUGUACGUACAAGCAGUGGGAGCACGCUUAGGCGUGUGACUGCGUACCUUUUGUAUAAUGGGUCAGCGACUUAUAUUCUGUAGCAAGGUUAACCGAAUAGGGGAGCCGAAGGGAAACCGAGUCUUAACUGGGCGUUAAGUUGCAGGGUAUAGACCCGAAACCCGGUGAUCUAGCCAUGGGCAGGUUGAAGGUUGGGUAACACUAACUGGAGGACCGAACCGACUAAUGUUGAAAAAUUAGCGGAUGACUUGUGGCUGGGGGUGAAAGGCCAAUCAAACCGGGAGAUAGCUGGUUCUCCCCGAAAGCUAUUUAGGUAGCGCCUCGUGAAUUCAUCUCCGGGGGUAGAGCACUGUUUCGGCAAGGGGGUCAUCCCGACUUACCAACCCGAUGCAAACUGCGAAUACCGGAGAAUGUUAUCACGGGAGACACACGGCGGGUGCUAACGUCCGUCGUGAAGAGGGAAACAACCCAGACCGCCAGCUAAGGUCCCAAAGUCAUGGUUAAGUGGGAAACGAUGUGGGAAGGCCCAGACAGCCAGGAUGUUGGCUUAGAAGCAGCCAUCAUUUAAAGAAAGCGUAAUAGCUCACUGGUCGAGUCGGCCUGCGCGGAAGAUGUAACGGGGCUAAACCAUGCACCGAAGCUGCGGCAGCGACGCUUAUGCGUUGUUGGGUAGGGGAGCGUUCUGUAAGCCUGUGAAGGUGUGCUGUGAGGCAUGCUGGAGGUAUCAGAAGUGCGAAUGCUGACAUAAGUAACGAUAAAGCGGGUGAAAAGCCCGCUCGCCGGAAGACCAAGGGUUCCUGUCCAACGUUAAUCGGGGCAGGGUGAGUCGACCCCUAAGGCGAGGCCGAAAGGCGUAGUCGAUGGGAAACAGGUUAAUAUUCCUGUACUUGGUGUUACUGCGAAGGGGGGACGGAGAAGGCUAUGUUGGCCGGGCGACGGUUGUCCCGGUUUAAGCGUGUAGGCUGGUUUUCCAGGCAAAUCCGGAAAAUCAAGGCUGAGGCGUGAUGACGAGGCACUACGGUGCUGAAGCAACAAAUGCCCUGCUUCCAGGAAAAGCCUCUAAGCAUCAGGUAACAUCAAAUCGUACCCCAAACCGACACAGGUGGUCAGGUAGAGAAUACCAAGGCGCUUGAGAGAACUCGGGUGAAGGAACUAGGCAAAAUGGUGCCGUAACUUCGGGAGAAGGCACGCUGAUAUGUAGGUGAAGUCCCUUGCGGAUGGAGCUGAAAUCAGUCGAAGAUACCAGCUGGCUGCAACUGUUUAUUAAAAACACAGCACUGUGCAAACACGAAAGUGGACGUAUACGGUGUGACGCCUGCCCGGUGCCGGAA
rnacentral:rRNA from 1 species